GGCAGCAGCCAUAUCACUCUGCAACUCCCAGCUGGCAGCCCACUGGAGCUCAGCAGGUGUGAGCCUGGCCAGUACCUGGAGGGGAGACCUCCUGGGAAAACUUAAGGUUACUGCUGGAA
rnacentral:rRNA from 1 species